AAAAAAAAAAAAAAAAAACAGGGAUCUCACAAGAGAUUAAAAAAUGAGGUCAACAAAAUUUGACCGGCUAUUAGAAGACUGAAUAGGGUGUAAGCAAACCAUUGCAAUUAAUGAACAACAUAUGAAGUGAGCUUGGUAGAGGUAUCAAAUUGACUAGGCAGCUAAUAGAUCACUCAACACAGUUCGCCAAAGUCUUGAGAGCAGAAGAAUGCUGUUCGCACACAUGAUUAAAUGGCACUACAUUUCAUUUAUUUUUUAACAGUGGAUUAAUGUUGAAAUUCCCUGGCUUACAAUGGACGCAUUCAUAGUUAUUAAAGGCGCGCCUUAAGGCUCAAUGCUCACUAGGCUCGAACCUUAGCGCCUUAUG
rnacentral:misc_RNA from 1 species